rfam:Triticum urartu cultivar G1812 contig811212, whole genome shotgun sequence.
CUUAUACUCCCUCUUAACGAAAAAGCUUGUCCCUCAAAUGGAUGUAUCUAGCACCAAGUUAGUGCUAGAUACAUUCAUUUGGAAGACAAGUUUGGGACAAGCUUUUUCGGACGGAGGAAGUAGGAG